rnacentral:tRNA from 1 species
GGGGCUGUAGCUCAAUGGUAGAGUGCUUGCCUUGCAUGCAUGAGACAGUGGGUUCAAUCCUCAGUACCA